UAGGGAAUCUUCCGCAAUGGACGCAAGUCUGACGGAGCAACGCCGCGUGAGUGAAGAAGGAUUUCGGUUCGUAAAACUCUGUUGUUAGAGAAGAACAGCGCAUAGAGUAACUGUUAUGCGUGUGACGGUAUCUAACCAGAAAGCCACGGCUAACUACGUGCCAGCAGCCGCGGUAAUACGUAGGUGGCAAGCGUUGUCCGGAUUUAUUGGGCGUAAAGCGAGCGCAGGCGGUCAAUUAAGUCUGAUGUGAAAGCCCCCGGCUCAACCGGGGGGGGUCAUUGGAAACUGGUUGACUUGAGUGCAGAAGAGGAGAGUGGAAUUCCAUGUGUAGCGGUGAAAUGCGUAGAUAUAUGGAGGAACACCAGUGGCGAAGGCGACUCUCUGGUCUGUAACUGACGCUGAGGUUCGAAAGCGUGGGUAGCAAACAGG
rnacentral:rRNA from 1 species